rnacentral:rRNA from 1 species
AACCAUGGCGGCAGGCCUAAACAUGCAAGUCGAGCGAGAAAGCACUUCGGUGUGAGUACAGCGGCGGACGGGUGAGUAACGCGUAGGAAUCUACCCAGUAGUGGGGGACAACUUGGGGAAACUCAAGCUAAUACCGCAUACGCCCUACGGGGGAAAGCGGGGGAUCUUCGGACCUCGCGCUAUUGGAUGAGCCUGCGUUGGAUUAGCUAGUUGGUGGGGUAAUGGCCUACCAAGGCAACGAUCUGUAGCUGGUCUGAGAGGACGAACAGCCACACUGGGACUGAGACACGGCCCAGACUCCUACGGGAGGCAGCAGUGGGGAAUAUUGGACAAUGGGCGAAAGCCUGAUCCAGCAAUGCCGCGUGUGUGAAGAAGGCCUGCGGGUUGUAAAGCACUUUCAGUUGGGAAGAUGAUGACGUUACCAACAGAAGAAGCACCGGCUAACUCCGUGCCAGCAGCCGCGGUAAUACGGAGGGUGCAAGCGUUAAUCGGAAUUACUGGGCGUAAAGCGCGCGUAGGCGGCUAAGUCAGUCAGAUGUGAAAUCCCCGGGCCUAACCUGGGAACUGCAUUUGAUACUGGCUUACUAGAGGUCGGGAGAGGGUAGUGGAAUUCCCAGUGUAGAGGUGAAAUUCGUAGAUAUUGGAAGAACACCAGCGGCGACGCGCUACCCUGGACCGAUACUGACGCUGAGUGCGAAAGCGUGGGGAGCAAACAGAUUAGAUACCCUGGUAGUCCACGCCGUAAACGAUGAGUGCUAGUUGUCGGGGACAUAGUCCUUCGGUGGACCGCAGCUAACCGCAUUAGCACUCCGCCUGGGGGAGUACCGCCCAGUAAACUCAAGAUGCGAGG